AUCGCUUCUCGGCCUUUUGGCUAAGAUCAAGUAUAGUAUCUGUUCUUAUCAGUUUAAUAAAUACUGCAACACAAAAAUAAUUACUGUUAAUGUUUUGGUCUUGAUACCUU
rnacentral:snRNA from 1 species